AUACGGAGGGUGCAAGCGUUACUCGGAAUCACAGGGCGUAAAGCGCGCGCAGGCGGGCUGAUAAGUUGGAUGUGAAAGCCUACGGCUCAACCGUAGAACUGCAUCCAAAACUGUCAGUCUAGAGUGUGGGAGAGGAAGAUGGAAUUAGUUGUGUAGGGGUAAAAUCCGUAGAGAUAACUAGGAAUACCAAAAGCGAAGGCAAUCUUCUGGAACACUACUGACGCUGAGGCGCGAAGGCGUGGGGAGCAAACAGGAUUAGAAACCCGUGUAGUCC
rnacentral:rRNA from 1 species